UGAAGAAAUGAAAGAAAAAAAUACAGGGUGGAAAAUAUCCCCAGGAGGAUUGAAAACUCUUCUGACUUAGUAAGAUCCUAACAACAAGCUCUUCAAAGGCUCCUUGUAGAGAGGAAAAUAUAAAGCAACUUGUGAAGAUGGAACGCUCCGGUGCUUUCAGAUGAGCCUUCCACUGUCACAGUCAAUGGCCAGGAACAGAAUAAGCUCUGGAGCUUAACAUGGAAAGGUCUGCCUACACAAGGAAAUUAUAAGUUCGAUGAAGGACACAGAUAUCUAAUCACCUUGAAUUUCUUCUACCACCAAUUUAUGAGCACCUACAAUAGAGAAAGUGUUACCACAAGAAUCUAAGAAGGCUCAUUAAAU